rnacentral:rRNA from 1 species
GACGGAACGCGUGGACGGCGCGCCUAACACAUGCAAGUCGAACGGAGUUGUGUUGAAAGCUUGCUGGAUAUACAACUUAGUGGCGGACGGGUGAGUAACACGUGAGUAACCUGCCUCUCAGAGUGGAAUAACGUUUGGAAACGAACGCUAAUACCGCAUAACGUGAGAAGAGGGCAUCCUCUUUUUACCAAAGAUUUAUCGCUGAGAGAUGGGCUCGCGGCCGAUUAGGUAGUUGGUGAGAUAACAGCCCACCAAGCCAACGAUCUGUAGCUGGUCUGAGAGGACGAUCAGCCACACUGGGACUGAGACACGGCCCAG